rnacentral:rRNA from 1 species
UGGGGAAUAUUGGACAAUGGGCGCAAGCCUGAUCCAGCCAUGCCGCGUGUGUGAAGAAGGCCUUUUGGUUGUAAAGCACUUUAAGCGAGGAGGAGGCUACUUGGAUUAAUACACUAGGAUAGUGGACGUUACUCGCAGAAUAAGCACCGGCUAACUCUGUGCCAGCAGCCGCGGUAAUACAGAGGGUGCGAGCGUUAAUCGGAUUUACUGGGCGUAAAGCGUGCGUAGGCGGCUUCUUAAGUCGGAUGUGAAAUCCCUGAGCUUAACUUAAGAAUUGCAUUCGAUACUGGGAAGCUAGAGUAUGGGAGAGGAUGGUAGAAUUCCAGGUGUAGCGGUGAAAUGCGUAGAGAUCUGGAGGAAUACCGAUGGCGAAGGCAGCCAUCUGGCCUAAUACUGACGCUGAGGUACGAAAGCAUGGGGAGCAAGCAGG